rnacentral:lncRNA from 1 species
UAUAUUCUAGGUGUAAUCUAUCAUUUUGUAAUGAGCUGAAAUACAGCUACAUCUGUAAUAAGGUUAAAGUAAUUGGAUGAAGAAGUAGUCGAAAGGCGAACAACACAAAACGACCAAUCAAAUAGCUAGAUCUAGAUUAAGACUUCCAAGAUUAUUAAAAUACAAUUCAUUGACUUCUCACUUUUAACAAAUCUAAAUGGAUCAAAACUACAUAGAAGAAUCUUCAAGAGAUAAUUUGAAGCCCACCCCAAACAUAAGGGAUCAUUUUUAUUAUUUUCUUGACCAACCCCAUCAUGUUAUUAUGUUGUCCAUACAAUCAAAAGAAAAACAUUUCUAUUAUAUCUUUGAGUCGUAAUGAAAAAUGAAAUCCCUGGUAGAAGAUAGAGAAAACUAGAAAAGAAGGAGACUUUGAACAUGAUCUUACCUUUUCCCGGUAUGAAGUUUAGCAAUAGAACCAACCCUGGCAAAGAGAGUAAGCUAUUGGAUCAAAUGAAAUCUUUUCAGAGUAGUAUAGUUUUGCAGUUGAAAGGCUACUACUUUGUGUGUGUACUUUUGGAUGCUCAUGACACCAACAGAAAGAAAGUAAGUUAGAAGAAUGAAAUAUUUUAAUAAAUACAAUUUAUUGACCUGUCAAGUCUUUUUUGAAUCAUUGUUGGUCAUCUUAAUUAAUGAUGGAAUCUAAUAGAAGCAGUAGAAGAAGUUGACGUGUAUUAAUCUAGUGUGCACGUCAACUUCUUAUAUAUUAACAAUUGGGAAAAGGCUCAAAUAUAAUGUCUAUGUUAUCCGUUAAAAGUUGGGCUCAUUCAUGUUAUCAUCAUUAUAAAAUCGGUUCAUCUAUAUCAUUACUUUUUAAUGGUAAUUUUCUAAAAAAUUGUUUUGCCAUGUGGCCUCUUAUUAGAGAUCCACAUUUUUUUAUUUAAUUUUUUUAGUUUUGAUUCAUUACGAAAAUUCACCCACAUCUAACCUAUCACCUUAACCCACUUUAAUAUUACUCUUAAUUUUUACCCUAGAUUUAAACAUAUAUAUAAUCAUUUAGUCUUCGAACAUAAAAUUGACACACUUAAAUACUAUGUUUAAAAUAAUAUAGAUUAUAAUAAUUAAUAAUUUAAAAUGACAAAUGAAUAAAUUAUGAUUAAAAAAUAAUUUAUUUUGACUCUCGAAAUUUGAACAUCAUCACAUAAUUUAGGACGAAGAGAAUAGCACAUAAUGAAGGACCACAACUUUUAAUUAGGAAGAAUACCUAAAAAUCUCUUCUAAAUUUUGAUUAUAAGUUGUAUGAUUGAAUUAUUGGUAGUCUUAAUUAUUUAGUGAAUUUGGCAAUUUGGUAGCCUUUAUACUCUUUAACGUAGAUGAGACGUAGAGCAUAACUUUGUUUGCGUGGAUGGAUUCUUUAAUAUACACAUAAAUAGUGUCUGCGUGAGUAGGUACCAAAUGACACUCAAAAAUAUGUGGACUGAAAACACCCUACGUACCUGGUUGGUGAUCUGUUAUUUAUUUUAUAUUUUUAAACUCUAACACACCUAAAAAUAAAUUAUGUUCUACAUCUCGUCCACGUUAAAGAGUAUAAAGGCUACCAAAUAGCUAAGUCCAUGAAAUAAUUAAGACUACCAAUAAUUCAAUUAUACAACUUAUAUUCCAAACUUAAAAGGAAUUUUUAAGUAUUCUUCCUAAUUAAAAGUUGUGGUCCUUCAUGUAUGUGGUACUCUCUUCAUCCUAAAUUAUGUGAUGAUGUUUGGAUUUCGAGAGUCAAAAUAAAUUAUUUUUUAAUCACAAUUUAUUCAUUUGUCAUUUUAAAUUAUUAAUUAUUCUAAUCUAUAUUAUUUUAAGUGAAGUAUUCAAGUGUGUAAAUUUCAUGUUCGAAGACUAAAUGAUUAUAUAUAUGUUUAAAUCUAGGGUCAAAAUUAAAAGUAAUAUUAAAGUAGGUUAAGGUGAUAGGUUGGGUGUGAGUGAAUUCUUUUUAAUGGAUCAAAACUAAAAAAAAAAAUUAAAAAUUAAAAAAUGACGUGGACCUCUAAUAAGAGGCCACGUGGCAAAGUAGUUUUUUAGAAAAUCAUCGUUAAAAAGUAAUGGCAUGGAUGGACCGAUUUUAUAACGGCGAUGGCAUGAAUGAUCCCAAUUUUUAACGGAUGACAUAAAUGAGCCAAUUCUGAUAGUUCAGUGACAUAUUUGAGCAUUUUCCCUUAACAAUAUAUAUGUGACCUCUAAACUGUGGUGGUGUCCGAGUCAACUUUUCCGCACUUUAAUUAAGUAAACGGAAUACUUGCAACCUCCCACCAACAUCACAUAUCAUGUAAUUAGAUGCGGUGUAAUAAUGUCCACCAAGACUAGAACACAUGGAAGGAAUAUUUUACAAUUCCAAGAUUAUUAUAAAUUCAACUCAAUGACGUUCCUUUGAAUUAUUUUUAAUACCCAACAUCAUUAAACAACUGUUAAUUCUGCCAUUAUUGGUAGUCUAAAAUGCCGAUAAUCUAUUAUUCUUUUACUAACCUACUUCGCCAGUACUUUAUUGUUAUUUAGUUAGCCAAUUAGAAGCACAGUUGGUAGGGCAGCCAUUUAUUAUAAAAGUAAAGUAAUAUGGAACAUAUUUUAACAUUGCCAAUUUAAAUAACAAAUAAAAUGAACAGAGAGAGUGCUUCACACAAUUGACCAUAUAUAGUUGUGUGAGUGUGAGAUUACAACAACGAGAAAUCCUUCAAAAGAAAGGAUAUGAUUUAUGUAUUUAUUCCGUGUCGCAAAAAACAUAAGUGACAACUAUUCUAAGACAAAGCCAGUACAAAGGAAAAUGUAUUCGUAUAAAAUAAGUAAAAUGUAUUUAUUAGAAGUAACAAUUAUGACAUAUAUAAGAAGUCAUUGUACUCUUAAGACUUUUAUACUCCCUCAAAUAUAGUGAAUUUUCGAGGGUCUAUCGUAAAUGACCCCUCUACCUUGUAGGGUAAGGUAUGUUGUUGUAGCAAUUGUUAGGAAUGAUGGAGAUAACGAUCGAUCAAUUGUGAAAGUAAUUGGCUAAACAAGUGUUUGAAAUGCAAGAAUCAAACAACUAGACUCCAGUUCCAACAUAUUAAAUCACAUUUCUGAACUAGAGGAAUCUAUCCCAUUUUUAUAUUAUAACCAAAAUGGGUUGGUGGUGGUGGGGUAAUACCUACCUCCAAUUCUGUUUUUUUUUACGGGUUGGUUGUGAAUUGAUUGAUAGGACGUCAAUUCAUAUAUUUCAAAAACUCUUUUUUAUUCCUUGAGGCUCCCACUGUUUUUGCUUCUUUGGUGUCUUGAACUUACAAUCUUUGGGUUUAAAGUGAUCGUACUUAUCAUCCAAACAACUCCCUCUUGUCUAUAUUUCAAAAACUCAAAUCUUGUUUUUGGUGUUUUUUUAAAAUAAUUUUAAAACCAGUUUUGAAUUUCUUUUUUGAUUCGGUAGAUAUAGGUCUGUUAACAAAAAAACAAAUGGUAUAUGCACUAUUUACUAACCGAUAAAGGUAUAUAUGCACCAUUGUUUAAACCAGGAAUAUGUCUGCUCUAAAUUAUAAAAUUGAAGGCUCUAUUUGCCCCCUUUUCCCUUUAAAAAACAAAUCAAAAAGUCUAAUUUUGUUUUAAUCCAAACAAUUGUCAACCAACUAGUUACUUUUAUUAAUCCUGGUGAGGGGACAAACCAUUCACUAACAAUCUUAUAAAAACACCAACUAGAAUAAAAUUACAUAUGCUACAAUCAUCAAAAAGUUUUACUGACAUAAGAGAAAAUCAAAUAUAUUACAAUAAUCAUAGGGUCUACAACAUAUUUUUAACAAAUCAUGUUGGCUUCAAAGUAACUUGAUGAUCUUGCUCUUUUGCCUUUGCACAUUAGUUAAAUAUACAUGAUCAUUAUCACAGCCUGCUGGAUUUUGUGGAAGUUGUAACCUUCCUAUUCCUCUUAGAUGAUUUAGGAACAUGCCCGAGCGAUAUAUCCCUCGGGGCCGGGGCUAGUGCAUCAACUUCACGGUACAAUAACAGUUGGCACAGGAAUAGCAGCCUGCGCAGCGAUAUUGGUGAAUUUAUCAAAUUGAGCUCGACUUCUUGUGCAUCAACUUGUUGCUCAACAUGCACCACACCACUCGGUAGAUAUAGAGGCAGGAGGAUUUGAGUUUUCUGCAUUACAAAAAUUACUCUUGCAUUGAUUCUAUAGAUGUUUUCAACAUAAAGACACCAAUAUGAUUAGUCCGCAUUAUGAACAAAAGUUUAAGAUGAUAAUUUAUUGAUCAAAAUAACUGAGCAUGAUACUUAUUGACAAACCAGAGGCAACACUUGCAAAACACCAUAGAUAACAAACUUGGAAACAAAACAAUAAAGGCCAGAUAGAAUUUCUCAAAACACUAACCAUAUGCAUCAGGCUUCCACUACACUCUACAUAGAGAUGUGCUUGCCACCUUAGAGUUGGAACCAUAAUCGGGUGACGCUCAAACUUCACCUCGUUAAGUUAUUUUUUUACGUUUGUCUAACAAAGCUCAUCUAUGGACUCAAAGGCUGCCUGCCGAAAAGAAGCCACGGUUAGAAGAUAUUAAAAUGAGAAGGAAUUACUAGGAUGCUUAAAGUUGAUAUUCUUAGUACAUUUUUCUUGCUCCAAUUCAUAUCCAGCAUUGAUGUAUUAAUAGGCACAUGAAGCCAAAUGCUGCAUAGCAGCACCUAUUUGAACUUGCAGAGAAGUUAAAUAUCAACCCAACCUUGACUUUGACACUGAUGGAUCUUGUGGAAGUUGUACUCUUCUUGGAAACUUGCCUCACAGAAAGGUCUCUUGGAGAAAUAUCAAAUCUCUUAAGACGCAUACACCCACACAUCCUGCUUUUACUAUUAUAUCGGGAGUUACUCCACCAGUAUUGCUUGACGUAAAACGGAUAGUGGGCUCCUCUUGGAUGAUUUAGGCAGAUGUUCGGAUGAUAUCCACGCGUCUCUAGCCACACUUGAACAAUUUCGAACAACAGAUUCUUCAUCCCUGUCCGAACGGCCCUGCAUUUAAUUUUUAAUGAGCUUCUUGUCUAUAGAUGAGAGUUAUUAGACUUUUAGUAGCUUUUCCAAGAGUAGCAGACUGUGCAGCUAUAUUCGUUUGUACUUUGGAGAUUAAGACUCUUUGCAUGAUUUGUUCACAUUAUGAAACUGAAGAUAAAUUUAGCCAAGGAAAUAUGAGAUAUAAACAAAAUUUUGAGACGAUUGUUAUUGAUCAAAGUUACUAAGUAAUACAUAGUAUGUGACACCUCCAUUUUCCUCUUCUCGACUAGUUUCCUGUAAUUAAGAUCUGCAUUGUCGUGACAGAGUUCACAAACAAAAACUGACCAUGUGAUAUAUGUGCAGGGGCUGGGCUAGAGCAUCAGCUGCAAGUUCGGGUGAGCCCGAUAGCUUCUGCUUAGACCCUAUGAUUUUAUCAGAAAAUUCACUCUAUAAAUAUUUUACUGCAAACGCCAUAAUUAAGAUGAAAUAUGAAUUCAGUGGAAAGUUCAGAAUCCAUAAACUUUAAGGUCUGGUGUUGCCUUUAUGUAUCUGUGCUGCUCUAGCCACAUUUGAAUAAUUAUGAGCAAUAGAUUCUAGGUGAUAACGGUAAAAGAAGAGUAGCAGCUAGAUUAUUUACACAAGUAUCGCUAGAUGCAACCUUAACUACAGCAGCAUUUUCAGGCGAAUUCAUCCACCUGCACUUCUUUUUCUUUCAUCACGUGUGCGUCAACUAGCUGCUCAGCACUAGCAGCCACCAUGGUAGAUAUAGAUGCUGGAGGAUUUGAAGUUGUCUGCAUUACAGGUGAAGUUGCACCUGGUGACUGUUCAAGCUUCACCUCAUUAGUUAUUUUUUCGAGUUUGUCAAUGGACUUAAAGGUGCCACCUGUAGAAAAGAAACCAAGGUUAGAAGAUGUUAGUGAUGAAAAUGAGAGUAUCCGUGAAGUUACACCUGGUUACUGUUCAAGCUUCACCUCAUUAGUUAUUUUUUCGAGUUUGUCAAUGGACUUAAAGGUGCCACCUGUAGAAAAGAAACCAAGGUUAGAAGAUGUUAGUGAUGAAAAUGAGAGUAUCCAAAAUUGGAAAAGAAUAAACCUUCAGAAAGGUGAUAUGCUUAGCACCUCAUUACUCUAGACUCUUUCAAUUCCCAUCAAUCAAGGUAUUAAUAGGCCAAAUGUUGUACAGCAAC